rnacentral:snoRNA from 1 species
AGCGUGGAUGAUGAAAACUGGACCUUAGGUAGGCCUUUUUUUUGGGCUGUUCUGGCCUAAAGCUUUGGGCUUACCAAUGGUAGGGCUUGUCAUAGUUACACUGACACGCA